rnacentral:lncRNA from 1 species
GACACAGAAUCAUAGAAGAAUAGAACUAGAAGGGAUCAGCCAUUCAAAACUGUGGGUGAUGGGGAGGUCCUCUCAGGUUAAAAAGAUAUGUCCAAUUCAACUGCUGCCGAAGAAGGUCACUAGCUAAGUAGUUGGUCUGAGAUUCCAGAGUCCUGAAGGAAGAGUCUGCUUCCUUUCCCUACAAAAUGGUUUGGAAGACGAUCCUGUUGUCCUUCAAUGACAGGGAUACAGUGAAUGAGUUUUUAGGGGAACUUCUACAGUUUAGGGGAAGAGUUUCAGUCCCUCAGGAACCACACAUGGAGCGUCCUUUCUCUGCACUUGAAUGGCAGAAAAUGAGGAAGGACUGA